rnacentral:rRNA from 1 species
UACGUAGGGUGCGAGCGUUGUCCGGAAUCAUUGGGCGUAAAGAGCUUGUAGGCGGUUUGUCGCGUCUGCUGUGAAAAUCCGGGGCUCAACCCCGGACUUGCAGUGGGUACGGGCAGACUAGAGUGUGGUAGGGGAGACUGGAAUUCCUGGUGUAGCGGUGGAAUGCGCAGAUAUCAGGAGGAACACCGAUGGCGAAGGCAGAUCUCUGGGCCGUUACUGACGCUGAGGAGCGAAAGCAUGGGGAGCGAACAGGAUUAGAUA